GCUUCCAAUAGUAGGGAGACUCGACUUCAAUUAGUAGGCCUAGCUGCCUUCCUAGCUCGAGUGAAUUCCGGAAGUCAAGGUCGCUUUUCUUUUCUUUCAAUCCUGUCUUCGAUUCUAGUCCUUACCUGUGUAAGCUAGCAGUCUCAUUCUCUCGCAUUCGUCCUUCCUGCUUGCUAGUCAUCAGUGAGCCUAAAGACAUGGAAUUGCAAUUGGCUCUUUCCUGUACUUCCCCUGCUUCCUUUGCCGCUGCAUCUCUUCUCGUAACCGGUGUUCUUGUUACAGUAAGCGUUGCAAGAAUCAACCGUUGAACACUUCCUUCCUCCGCCUAUGCUAUUGGUGAAAAUGCUACUGCUAGAGUCUGGAUCGACCGCUUUUUCAACGGCUUAAUAAUCAACAGAAAGGGUCUUCACCUACAUUUGCUGCUACUGGAUACGCUUACCCCGAAACGAUUUGCAUUAUCUUGCUCCAUCUUCUUGGCUCUAGCAUGAGUAUAAUACUGAUGUUAAGCUAUCCUCAAACCUUGAUUUUCACAAUAUAAAAAUUUAAUAUGAUGUUUAUGAAACUCUCAUGCAUGAGAAUGAAUGCCAAAACAUAAUGCAUGGAUGCCAUAAGGAGAAUUUACCACAUAACAAUUGUUAUCAGAGAAAAUCUUUAUUGAAUUAAAAGUCACUUUUAACAAAAUCCAACAUCAUCCACGAAACAUCUAGAACUAUUGAGAAAAUAAAUCCAUAGCUCGUCGAUACUAGUUUUGCAUUUCAUUAAGGAAAUCCAUCAAUUUUUUAUCAUGUGCUCUCACAGGUGGCACCCUUACUUUUCACUUUUUAAUCACUUCUACCAUGUCCUUGGCAUUGUAAAUAGCCAUAAUGAUUUGGUCCAGCAGGGACUUCAACUGGUUAUGUUUUUGCACUUAUGUUUUUUUCAUUUACUGACAUUUUUCAGUCAUGGCCCUCAUUUGUACUUUGAUUCCCGUCAUUACUCCAUUUAGCAUCUAAAAGUGCUUUUGUGCUUUAAGGAGCAUUGUAUCCUUUUAUUGUAGUUUUGCUUGCAACUGUCUGUUUUCUUGUAAAAGUUAGGCCAAUUCUUGAUUAAUGGAUGACCGUGUUGUAUUAAGGUUACUGCACAAGCUCUUUCAUCCAUCUUUUUCUUGUUUUAGUGUUUGGACUUCCUUUUUUAGCCUUUUGUUUGCAAAUUUCAAUUCUUUAGACUCUUUUUUUAUGCCAGUAAAGGAUUUUGCUAGGCUUUCCAUGGAUAUAACUAAGAUUUUUCUUGUUAAAAAUUAUUUUGUGGCAAGUAUUCCUUAUGAUUGAUUUAAUGAUGUGAAUGCAUGAUAAAGGAAAAGGGUUAGUAAAAAAUAAUAUACAAAGACCAAUAUACAGGGUUAGUAUACAAAUAUAUACAAAAAAUAUAUAUAUAAUGAAAACAAACAUCUACUCAUGCAUCUUAUUUAGGUUUUUCUAACACAAAGAAAUGUAUGUCUUUACCUAAGUUCAGACACUUAGGGUUAAUUAUGUGUGGCUUGAAUUACUUUUAGAAAGUUCCUAAAUUAUUCCUUACAUCAUUGUCCAUCAUAGACUAGUAAAACAUCUUGAUCUUUGCCCAUCAUAGGCUACAAGUGGAAAUAGUUCAAUUUAAGUGAGAAUAUUUCGUAAGCCCAUGCAGAGACAUAAAAUCUCAUGAGAGUAUAGGUACUUCACUCCCUUCUAAGGGUAGAGCUCAGGUAGAGAGCUUUAUGUUAUGCAUAUGCGAAUGAAUGAUAGAUAUAUACAGUAAAUAAAUGAAUAACUAAAACAAAUUUAAGCAAUGAAAUGAAAUACAAUAAAAAAGAAAAUAAAUUGCAAAUUUAUUAAGCAAGGCUUGGAUAAUAAGAAAUCGUUUACUGGCUUAGCUCUUGAUGUCCCUAACGAAGUCACCAAACUAUUAUAACGUAUAGAUCCAUGGACCUAUCGUUAGACAUUGAUUAGAGGAGUCACCACUAAUCUUUUUUGUUAAUGCAUGAUUGACCACCUGAUUGACUCUGAUCCAUGAAACCAAAUUUAGUUCAGGAGUACGAUUGUGCGUGAGA
rnacentral:lncRNA from 1 species